rnacentral:rRNA from 1 species
AUUGAACGCUGGCGGCAUGCCUUACACAUGCAAGUCGAACGGUAACAGGCCGCAAGGUGCUGACGAGUGGCGAACGGGUGAGUAAUGCAUCGGAACGUGCCCAGUCGUGGGGGAUAACUGCUCGAAAGAGCAGCUAAUACCGCAUACGACCUGAGGGUGAAAGCGGGGGACGGUAAGGCCUCACGCCAUUGGAGGGGCCGAUGUCAGAUUAGCUAGUUGGUGGGGUAAAGGCCUACCAAGGCAACGAUCUGUAGUUGGUCUGAGAGGACGACCAGCCACACUGGGACUGAGACACGGCCCAGACUCCUACGGGAGGCAGCAGUGGGGAAUUUUGGACAAUGGGCGCAAGCCUGAUCCAGCAAUGCCGCGUGCAGGAAGAAGGCCUUCGGGUUGUAAACUGCUUUUGUCAGGGAAGAAAUCUUCUGGGCUAAUACCCCGGGAGGAUGACGGUACCUGAAGAAUAAGCACCGGCUAACUACGUGCCAGCCGCCGCCGUAAGAC